rnacentral:rRNA from 1 species
GAUCCUGGCUCAGAUUGAACGCUGGCGGCAGGCUUAACACAUGCAAGUCGAGGGGAAACGAUAUUGGAAGCUUGCUUCCGAUAGGCGUCGACCGGCGCACGGGUGAGUAACGCGUAUCCAACCUGCCCACCACUUGGGGAUAACCUUGCGAAAGUAAGACUAAUACCCAAUGAUAUCUCUAGAAGACAUCUGAAAGAGAUUAAAGAUUUAUCGGUGAUGGAUGGGGAUGCGU